CAAAAAGCCAUAUAGUUUGGAAUUUCUCUUGUCUGGGGUCUGGUCUGAGGUGUAUGAUGGAGUGUGUGAUAAGGUGUGUUCUCCUCUGUGAUCAGAAGGUCCGACUCUUAAAAGCCUUGGCUCUCUGAUGAAUAAAGGAUUGAAUCGCCUUGCCACCACCAGCUCUGUUCCUGGGUCAUCUCUUCCAUCGCUGAACUGGAAGUCACACAUGUCAUUUUGCUGAAGACAUAGGCCUGCCUAGAUUUAACUGGAAGAAGCAUAGACCCUGCCAGAGACAAACAUUCAGAUGAUCUCAGCAUUCAGUUAUACACAACCUGUGAUGUUAUUGUGAAGAUAUUUGAGAGGAAUCAUUAAGGUCUCAAAUGUACUGGCCUUAAGACAAGCAGCUUCUCAACCCAGGUGUCCAGCAACAGAUAAGUGGCUGAGCAAGUUGUGGUAUAUAUACAUACUGGAAUAAAAUGGUGACUUCACCAUUUUCAGCCCAUCUUGGAUGGACCUUGAAAAAUUCAUGUUAAGUGAAAUAAGUCAGAAACAGAAGGAUGAUAGAGGAUGAUCUCACUCUCAGGCAGAAGUUGAAAAACAAGAUCAGAAGAGAAAACACAAGUAGAACCUGAACAGGAGUUGGUGUAUUGCACCAAAGUAAAAGACUCUGGGGUGGGUAGGGGGGAGAGAACAGGUACAAAAAAGAUGACAGAGGACCUAGUAGGGGUUGUAUUGUUAUGUGAAAAACUUAGAAAUGUUAUGCAUGUACAAACUAUUGUAUUUACUGUCAAAUGUAAAACAUUAAUCCCCAAUAAAGAAAUUAAAAAAAAAAAAAGACAGGCAGCUUCUGGUUAGCUAGAGUUCUUUAAUGUUGACUCAGAACUCCUGUUGUCCUGCUGGAGAUACCACAUCGAGUUCUCCAUAAAGUGGCAAGUGUCUGGGGAGCCCUGCACAGUCAACCCCCUCAA